rnacentral:rRNA from 1 species
AUACGAAGGGGGCAAGCGUUGUUCGGAAUAACUGGGCGUAAAGCGCACGUAGGCGGAAUGUUAAGUUAGAGGUGAAAUCCCAGGGCUCAACCCUGGAACGGCCUUUAAUACUGGCAAUCUAGAGACCGAGAGAGGUGAGUGGAAUUCCGAGUGUAGAGGUGAAAUUCGUAGAUAUUCGGAGGAACACCAGUGGCGAAGGCGGCUCACUGGCUCGGUACUGACGCUGAGGUGCGAAAGCGUGGGGAGCAAACAGGAUUAGAAACCCUUGUAGUCC